GGAAGCGAAGCCCUAAGAUGGGCGGAGAGAAGCAGAUGUGGAGGUGAUGGCGAAGACCCAGAUAUAAGCAGGGUUGGCCUGUCCAAGUUCAACAGUGGGCUUCCACACCCUCCCACUUCCAGCUGGGUUGGCCAAGGGACCCCACUAAAACAGCAUCCUGCACAAAAUAGAACAUAGCAGGCCGGGCGCAGUGGCUCACACCUGUAAUCCCAGCACUUUGGGAGGCCGAGGAGGGCGGAUCACCUGAGGUC
rnacentral:lncRNA from 1 species